AAUCAUAGUAUGCUUCUUAUUGGUCAGUCACAUGAUUUGCAUUUUUCCGCCAUCUUGGUCAUAAGACUAAACGAGUAAUCUUAACUUUUAAUUCAAAAAUCAUUCCUCUCUAUUAGAAUGGACGGUUUCAGUGAAGGAAGUCCAGUAUAUGCUCCAUUUUUUGGAGUAAUGGGAGCUACUGCAGCUAUGGUAUUCAGUGCUUUGGGUGCCGCCUACGGAACAGCGAAAGCUGGAACUGGAAUAGCAGCAAUGGCAGUUAUGAGACCUGAACUUAUAAUUAAAUCGGUCAUUCCAGUUGUCAUGGCUGGUAUUAUCGCCAUAUACGGUUUAGUUGUUGCUGUUCUUAUAGCCAAGGAUUUAGCAGAUGACGGAAAGUACAGGCUUUUUAAAGGGUUUGUACACUUAGGGGCAGGUUUAAGUGUUGGUCUUAGUGGAUUGGCAGCAGGAUUCGCUAUAGGUAUCGUUGGUGAUGCUGGAGUUCGAGGUAUGGCUCAACAACCACGUCUAUUUGUUGGUAUGAUCCUUAUUAUGAUCUUCGCUGAAGUUCUUGGUCUUUACGGAUUGAUCGUAUCGCUGAUCCUUAGCACAAAACAAUAAAUGUUAUAUCAUCCUCCUAAUAUUACGUCGGGGAAUUGUGCACAUACUUUAGAACAAUUAUAGUAAGUGUUGUAUUGGGAUAUUUAAGAUAUAAUGUAUAAAGAAGCAUUUACAGUUUUGCUGGACGUAGGAUACACCAUGUCAAAUCGUUGUUGUGCUAUUUUGCGUUUAACAGACUUUUCUGCCAAGUAUGUGCAUGUGUUUCUUGGGGAUUUUUAUGCAGUAGCUCCUACAAUCAAGAACUGACAUAAAGAUGCUGCAGUUAAAUAUAUAAAGAAAUAUAACAUUAGUGUUGUCUUACUGCAUAAUAAUGCCCAACGAAAUAUCUCCAAUCAUUACUUAGUUCAAAUAUAUUAAAUAUUUCAAUUUAUUUCAAUGUAUAGAGUGAAUAAUAAAUAUAUCUAAAAUACCUGUGAGUCAAUAUCACGUGGAUAAGAGUUUAUAAAAAAAGAUGUCAGUCGUCAGUUCACCCAUUGGCUUUUCAUGAGGACUAGACAAGAACAUGUUAGGGAAAGGAUUGAUUAUAUAAUCGUUGAACUCUAAAAAGACAGCAAAUGCUAAUGCCAUCUGUUAAUCCAUUCAAAUUCAAAGAUAGAUAGAUAGCUCACGUGACGAUUAUUCCGGACAACCCAUUCUAUUGAUGACAUGACUCUUUUGAAACAGGGUAAUCGAUAAUGUUUAUACCGAUUACCAUAAUUUUUUUUACUAAUGUGGAUAAAGAGACAAUAUUCAUUUUUCUACCAUAAAGUUAACUCUGGACUUUUCAAUAUGGCCGGCAGUUUUACACCGUAUGAUACGAGGCUAAAUACUAGAACGAUAUUCUUGAUUAUAUCUUAACAAUUGAUCUUAUAACCGACCCAAAAUUUUUGAAGAAGUAAUUUCAAAGCGUUGUUUUUGUAAUUCAGAUAUUUAUAAAUAUUUCAUAUAUGUAGCUCUGCUAAUUAAUCAUGUGAUAAAAUAUCCUUCGACCUACAUCCCCUAUUAAGUUUAAUUAUGUAAAUGAAUAUUCAGUAAACUAAUGAGAUGGCUAUAGCUUUUUAUUAUUUUAACGAUAAAACAAUCAUUUCAUUCAUUUAGCUUUUAAAAUAGCAACAUUAUUCAUUUUAGAGACUCUCUUUCAUUGUAGUUAUUAAAUAUUAAUAUAUUUGACCUAUUAAUAAUUCGAUUAAAAUUCUGGCUAAGAUAAGAAAGUAUUAGCAUAAACUCGAAAUUUGAUAAAAUAGUGAUCCUAUAAGAUUUUUUUUAUCAAAAUAAUAGAUUAAGUAAAUUAAGAGAACAUUUCAAUUUAUUAUAGAAUAUAGUUAUGUAGGAAAUAAUAAUUGAGACAUACUUGUUUGUUCAUAGCUAACUUAAUUGAAACAUUACAAAUUAAAAAACAAAUAUAAAGAAGCGAACGAAUAUAAAAGGAGUAUAAGGCGUGCAAUAAAUGUUGAUAAAAAUUGAAAAAUCUUCACUUAUUUCUUAACAAAAGCUAUUGUACAUCGACAAAUGCAUUGAGUAUAUAUCUAUAUAUACAUUUAAUAUAUGCUUGAUGCAUAUCCGCGUAUUCAGUAGAUGGAAUAUUAAUUUCAGUUAGAAAUAUUCUUUAUGAAUUUUCUUCUAACAUCUAUCUACGUACUUUUAACCUAUGCAGAUGGUUUUAAAAAAGCAAAAAUACAAUAAAAAAAAAUAAAUCAACAGAAAGCGUUUCCUUUCAUUUUUUUUGCUGUAUCGAUAAGUAAUUUAAAAAUCCAAUUAAAUUAAAACUGAGAGAAAUACUAUAGUAAAAUAAUAAUAUUAGAUUAAUCAAGGUUCUUCGCUGUGAGGUGAUUGGUUGUUAUUAUCUCGAUUUCCCAUUAUUGCUCCACAAACGCCAAUAAUACACAUAGAGCAGCACAUGCAAAGUGCAAAUAUGUAAACUGCCGUUGUUAUCCAAAAGGAAAAGUAAUAUAAAGUGGGAUUACAGUAGUCGGCACUCUCCUUAUUUUUGUCAUCAAAAUCAUCGUAUAUUUUAUAUAUCCAAACGUUUCCGGCGACGAACCAUCCAAAGAGGAAACACCCAAUAAGACUAUCAAAAGGAUUGGUUUUACUAUUGGCUUCUUCAGCAUUCUCUUCGUUCCGAUUUUUACAUCGUUGAAAGAGAGAAGAUAUAUUUUUUAAAACACCAAAUGCACCAGCCACAAUUAAAUAUAUGGGUAUGUAUUUCUCUCUUGGGCAAUCACCCUUAUAUAUCGAUCCAAUAACAAUCAUCGAUAUAGGUAUAGCCAAUAGAACUAGAAGCAUCAGUGUAAAUGCCACAGUAGAUACUAUAAUUUGAAAAAAUUUCUUAGCAUAUUGAAGAGUAGAUGUAGACUGAUUCCUGGCCUCCUUCAUUCUGCCAAAUAUUGUAUCAUAUGAGGGUGGAGGAUCGUUAUAAGUUGCAUCGUAGGCUGGUGGCGUGGAGCCAUAACUUGGAGGUGGAUCUGGUUCCUGAAAUAUAAAAUACGUAUAUUCUUUGAUCUCACCUGUAUGCGUGCGUUAUAUACGUGAUACAACUACGAAACAAUCAUACUAUUAUUAUAAUCUUAGUGUCAUAAUAAAUUUUCAUUGUGGACAACAAACCAUGUUCGCCGAGAAAUUGUGACGUAAAUAUCAAGUUUAUUUAUUAAUUAAUUUAUUAAACCUUUUGACUAAUUCUCAGCCCUUUAAUAUUGAUUUAUGUUUUUAAUAUAUAUUGUCAUGCUCUAUAUGGCACAACAAAAAUUCGAAUUACUCAUGGGAAAUACACUGCUAUCAAAACUAGAAUGAUUAUAUUAACUCUUAAUUAACUUGUUUUAUAGGCAGGAGUGGUCAAUUACUGACAUGAACCAGAAUACUUUAAUCAUUUUCGUAUUAAUAUACAAAACAUAAAUACGAAUUAGGAAUCUAUUGAAUAAAUUGUAAAAUAUACCAUCGAUUGUGCUGAAGCUGCUCCUGCUUCCACCUCUUUGGUUACUUCCAUUUUUUUUCUUAUGAAAUUAUAGAAAUUUACAAUAAUAAAUAAAUGGUUUGAUCCGAAACUCUAGUUCUAAGGGCUGACCAACAGUAUAGAUACUUAUCGACUAAUUGAUAGAACCGGUGAAGUAAAAGUAUGGUUCAGUGGUCUGACUGGUGUCUACGAAUAACAUGCGCAAAUCAGAGCUCAACCUGAUGACCGGUAACAGUAGUAAAAUUUCAAUUUUUUUAUACGCUUAUUUACUGCACUAUUGUGGAAACCUGUUACAGUCA
rnacentral:misc_RNA from 1 species